rnacentral:rRNA from 1 species
UGCUAAUACCCGAUAUGGCGAGAGCUGAAAGAUUAAUUGCCUGAAGAUGAACUCGCGUCCGAUUAGCUAGUUGGAGUGGUAAAGGCACCCCAAGGCGAUGAUCGGUAGCUGGUCUGAGAGGAUGAUCAGCCACACUGGGACUGAGACACGGCCCAGACUCCUACGGGAGGCAGCAGUGGGGAAUUUUCCGCAAUGGGCGAAAGCCUGACGGAGCAAUACCGCGUGCGGGAGGACGGCCUUUGGGUUGUAAACCGCUUUUCUCAGGGAAGAAGAUCUGACGGUACCUGAGGAAUCAGCAUCGGCUAACUCCGUGCCAGCAGCCGCGGUAAUACGGAGGAUGCAAGCGUUAUCCGGAAUUAUUGGGCGUAAAGCGUCCGCAGGUGGUUGGUCAAGUCUGCUGUCAAAGCGUGGAGCUUAACUCCAUAAGGGCGGUGGAAACUGAUUAACUAGAGGAUGGUAGGGGUCACGGGAAUUCCCAGUGUAGCGGUGAAAUGCGUAGAUAUUGGGAAGAACACCAGCGGCGAAAGCGCGUGACUGGGCCAUUACUGACACUCAUGGACGAAAGCUAGGGGAGCGAAUGGGA